rnacentral:rRNA from 1 species
AGACAGCAGUCGCCGCGGUAAUACGUAGGUCCCGAGCGUUGUCCGGAUUUAUUGGGCGUAAAGGGAGCGCAGGCGGUUUAGUAAGUCUGAAGUUAAAGGCAUUGGCUCAACCAAUGUAUGCUUUGGAAACUGUUAGACUUGAGUGCAGAAGGGGAGAGUGGAAUUCCAUGUGUAGCGGUGAAAUGCGUAGAUAUAUGGAGGAACACCGGUGGCGAAAGCGGCUCUCUGGUCUGUCACUGACGCCGAGGCUCGAAAGCGUGGGUAGCGAACAGGAUUAGAUACCCCCGUAGUCCCUGUCUCUUAUACA